UCUGUUUGACAAGGAGAUUUAUAUUGUGUUGUACAAUAUUAAGUUAGUAGAGCUAGAAUACUUGUAAAAGUAUCACCCAAGUGAUACUUGUGUAUUUUUAGCCCUUGGAUGAAGAGAUGUGAGGUUGAGAUGAUGGUGAUAGGUGAUACUUGUGUGUUUUUAGCCCUUGGAUGGAGAGAUGUGAGGUUGAGAUGAUGGUGGUAGAUGGUGGUAGGUGGAAUAGUGUUUGAUCCAAGGACUAUUAGUAAUCAAAAAGUAGAUCCAAUGGCUAAAAACACACAAGUAUCACUUGGGUGAUACUUGUAAAAAUAUUCUAGCCCUACUCAUAUUAAGUGAUAUGUACUAUCGAUAAGUAUGAAAAUUUUCAUGUACCUAAAAAAAUAAAGGACAAUCUGAAUACUAUACAAUAAGAAGGCAAAGCAUUGCGCAUAAGGCAUGUUUGUUUUAGUAUAAGUAGAGUGAUGGAACUCAAGUUCCAUCACUUUCGUUAUUUAUUUUGGUGUUAAUGAAAAAUAUAAUAUAACUCAAGUUACGUUAGACCUCCAAUUCACCUACUCUCGACUUCUUCCUCUAAAGUGCCGAACUCAACUUCCACCACACUCAACUUCCUCUAAAAUAUUUAUUAAACAGUAAAAUCUAAACUCUACUUCCCUUAUAAUAGAUUAGAAUUACCUUAUUUAUAAUAAAUUAGGAUUAUCUUUAAAUAAUAAAAAAAAAUUAAUUAUAUAAUAAGUUAAAUUUUAUAGCGGUAAAUUUACUAUUAUAUUUAGGAGAUAAUGGAAUCCACUUACUUACAUCAAAAUAAACAACGGAACUCAUAAAACUAAUUUUACCAGCACCAAGUUACAUCAAAACAAACAGAAAAAGUAAUUGAAUUUAACUUUCAGUCUAUACGAGUUACGUCAAAACAAACAACCAAAAAAUAAUCACAUUUCAGAAAAACUCGAACACCACUGUUCUUGACUUACGUUGGAUCUAUAGGUACGUCAAUCCAAACGGACCCUAAAAAUUUUAGAAGAGAGGUUAAUUU
rnacentral:lncRNA from 1 species